CUCAUCCUGGCUGCUCUCACCGUGGCCUGUCCAGAUGCAGGAGCUCCUCUCUGAAUCUGGGGCUACUGGCAGAACCAGUAAACACGGAGUUACUCCUGUACUGAGCUGAGUAAAAUAAUCUGACUGAGAGGAUGCGCUGACCUCAGUUUCGACAACUGCGUUUGGUACCAAGCCCUGCAAGGGCUCCACGGAGCAGCUUUGGGGGAGACCUGCCUGCAGGAACAUGUACCCCACGGAGCAGCUUUGGGGGAGACCUGCCUGCAGGAACAUGUACCCCACGGAGCAGCUUUGGGGGAGACCUGCCUGCAGGAACAUGUACCCCACGGAGCAGCUUUGGGGGAGACCUGCCUGCAGGAACAUGUACCCCACGGAGCAGCUUUGGGGGAGACCUGCCUGCAGGAACAUGUACCUCACGGAGCAGCUUUGGGGGAGACCUGCCUGCAGGAACAUGUACCCCACGGAGCAGCUUUGGGGGAGACCUGCCUGCAGGAACAUGUACCCCACCCGACACGUCCUGGGAGCCUCGUCUGAGGUACAAACAACAGGAAAGCACUGAUGCAUUUUUCAAAAUCCAGCAGGAGGGAACGGUGGGCUGUGGAUGCUGGCUGGGAAAGCUCCUCGGGCACAGCCCUGUGGGCAGGGAGGGGAGGAGGGCUCAGCCCCCACACAGGCCGCCUGGCACCAGGAGUCACAGGCCUCAGCCGUGGGAUGUCCCCAGAGUUCCAACCGCCACUCUUGCAGAAGCAGCCCAGCAGGGUGAGGGUGGGGCCACAUGGGGCUCAGCUGCAGGAGGGACGCCAGGUCCUGCACUUCUCACCCGCAGUGACCUUGGGCAGGGCAUUCAUUCCUUGGGAGAAAUUUCCUCGUUGGUGAAAUGAAAUCACUGCUUGGCUUCAGCCACAUAAUGUUAGGCACGCUAACUGCAGCCUAGGCAACCUCAGACCCUCAGGAAAUCAACAGAGGGGUGCCAGCUCCCUGCACAGGUCCCGGCCUAACUCGGGAUGCCACUCAGGGCCCUCGUCUUCCCAUCCUGUGGCUCUGUCUUCACAAGGCCCCAGAGGUGCUCUUGUCCCUUCCCUUUCAGUCCCUCAGCCAGUGGGCAGCACACGGCCACCCAAACACAAGAGGCCAGGACCAUGGACAGCAGGGAGCACAGAGCCCAGGCCUCCGUGAUCCUAGGAACACGCAGCAUCCGGGAACACGGAAAGUAAAGAUGGAGACAUGGGGCGGGAGGAAGCUAAGCAGGGACACAGUACCCCCUUGCAUCACGGAAAUGCCUGGCCAGAGCGACCUGCCGCAAGAAGCCAGCCCAGCUGCUCCUGUCCCUGAAAUGUCCGGAGAGAGGGCCAGCAGGGAGGCUGGCGCCUGGGCCAAGAGAGGGGCUACUCAGUUCUUCCAGAACAUUCCAGUGUGGCCCAUGGACACCGGCCUUCUGAUGUCCAGAGAGGGGCUACUCAGUUCCUCCAGAACAUUCCAGUGUGGCCCAUGGACGCCGGCCUUCUGGGGUCCAUUCUGUCCUGUGUCACUUCAGUUGAUGAGCUGCUUGAGACCAGAACUGCCCAAAUCCAGAACCGCCCACUACCUUCUGUGAGGCUGUGGCCAGAAAGCAAGCCAGACUUCUGAAGCUGCCUGGGCCUGUCGGGACCCAGGAGAAUCUGGCCGUGAAGGAGAAUAAAGGAGGAAGCCAGGCCUGGCACAGGGACAGGGUGGGGACCCAGUGAGAUCUCCAAGGAGGAAGCCAGGGCUCCUACACUGGGGCUGCUGUUCUCCCGGAGGAACUCCACCCAAGGAGAGUCUGGGAUUAUCAUGAGAGACAGGACCGCAUCUGUGCACAGUGCAGUACGUCAGGUGCUGGCCAGGGGCCGGGGGCCUCAGGGAGGAGAGUCACCCACCAGGCCAACUAGGACAGACGAAACGUGAGUGCCCCUACGGGAGAAAGCAAAGCUGAGACAGCAUCGCGAGCUGAGGGAGAAACUGACAGACGGCAGUUCACCAAAACCCAAAAACUGGUCAUUCUCUGGCCUUUAACAAACCAAAGUAUAUUUCUCCCUCUGAAAUAAGAAACACAGGACAAUUAUUAAGUUCCAAAAGUACGUUUCAUUUUGGAGGCAUGUUGUUGGUCCCCUUUGGAAUCAUGAACCCCUGUGAGCGAAACACCUCCCACCAUUGAUUCUGACAGGGUACGGCGGGCAGUUCCCGGCCCAGGUAGAGGCAGACAGGUGCAGAGCCACAGGGCCACCACUGCAGAGUCUGGCCUUCUCUCCAGCCCCGGGUGCACCCACGGUUAUCAGGGACCCAGCACUGCCUCCCUGCACGCACAUGGCUCUCCAGGCCACCACUGCAGAGUCCGGCCUUCUCUCCAGCCCCGGGUGCACCCACGGUGAUCAGGGACCCGGUGCUGCCUCCCUGCACCCACCCGGCUCUCCACAGCAGCAAACGGGGUACAUUAGGGUGGACGGGAUGUGGGGCCAGGGCCCUGCUAGGGCUGGGGUGGACUGCGGAGGGCCGGCACCAAGCAGUUCCAGGUGUGGAGGGCGGCCCUAUGUCAGCUGUUAGACACGCAGGGGAGGCACCUCAGAUGGCUACAGGUUUGAUUGUGUCCCCACAAAAAUCCAUAUGUUGAAGUCCUAACCCCCAACACUGCCGAAGAUGACCUUAUUUGGAAAUAGAGUCAUCAAAGACAUCAUUGGCUACAUUAAGAUAAGGUUAUACUAGAGUAGGGGGACACCUAGCUUAUUAUGACUGGUGUCCUUAUAAAAAGAAGGAAACUGGACACAUAAAGGGAGAAUGCCAUAGGAGGACGGAGGCGGAGAUCGGGGUGAAGCUUCUCUAAGCCACGGAGAGCGGCCUAGAACCGACCCUUCCCUCACAGCCCUCAGAGGACAGCCUGGAACCGACCCUUCCCUCACAGCCCUCGGAGGACGGCCUGGAAUCCACUCUUCCCUCACAGCCCUCGGAGGGCAGCCUGGAACCGACCCUUCCCUCACAGCCCUCGGAGGGCGGCCUGGAACCGACCCUUCCCUCACAGCCCUCGGAGUGCGACCUGGAACCAACCCUUCCCUCACAGCUCUUGGAGGGAACCCACCCUGCCCACACCUUGACCUCGGACAGGUGGCCUCUAGAGACCUGUGCAGUGAGUUCCUGCUCCCAGCCUGUGGUCCUUCCAUGUGGAAGCAAAGCAAACUCCUCCAGGCACAUUCACCGCCAUUGGCAUGGGCCUCCGACACUGACCAGGGCCUCCCGUCACCUCUGCCCCUGCCCACCACUCCCCAGCCCAGGUACCAUGCUGUAAAAACAGCCUCAAAAAGAACAUGAGGUCCACAGCUCCUCCAGGAGACUGGGCCAGCCCCAAGCACAUCCAGAGAGGUGGCUCCUCUGACUGGAGGCUCACGCCAAAGCCACACAGAGACAGCUGCCAUUCUCGCUCGCUCAUGCUUCCCCCGAGCCUAAACCCUGACCAGCCAGCUCUAUACAUUUACAUCUUUUUCUGGCCUCACACACUGUCUAGAAUGUCCAGUCGAAUGUUGAGAAGUCGUGGUCAAAGCAGAAAGCCCAGCUUUAUCCCCAGUCUUAGUGGGUACGUGUUUGCUGUUUCACGUUAAGAUACUGGCUGGCAGUGGGGCACAGUGACUCACGCCUGUAAUCCCAGCACUUUGGGAGGCCAAGGUGGGUGGAUCACAAGGUCAAAGGAUUGAGACCGUCCUGGCCAACAUGGUGAAACCCCAUCUCUACUAAAAAUACAGAAAUUAGCUGCGUGUGGUGGCGGACACCUGUAGUCCCAGCUACUCGGGAGGCUGAGACCGGAGAAUCGCUUGAACGUGGGAGCAGAGGUUGCAGUGAGCCGAGAUCGCACCAUUGCACUCCAGCCUGGGUGACAGAACGAGACUCUAUCUC
ensembl:lncRNA novel transcript